rnacentral:lncRNA from 1 species
UUUCUUUAGAGACGAAACAUAUCCCUAAUUCGCCGCCACUAACCGUCCGUCGGAAAUUGCCAACGGUGGCGGUCAACCACCAAUCACCCCCAAUAUUACACCAUAAACUCCUAUCACUUUUCCCAUCCCAAAUCUCCAAACAAUCCUUCUCAAAUCCCUUGGAACUUCUCGAAUUUUAGUUCAAAGGAGAAACCCUAGCGCCGCCCUAACAUCCUCCGAUGGCGGCGCCACCUCCAAGCACCACCAAAAUAACAAAUGUGACCCCCUCACUUCCCUCAUUCAAAAUCCGUAACCCUUUACUCUCGAAUAUGCCCAGAACUCCUCGGAUAUUGAAUCCAAGGUUCAAGCCUCAAAAGAUCAAAAUUGAACCUGUACAUGCGAGGUCACUCUUAUGAGUUUCUUGGCUUGUUCAAGCGCCUUUUAUCACAAAAUAAUGACAUUCAUUCGUUCGUCAUCAACAAAAAAAAUUUAAUAUUGUUUUGGGUUGACUCAGAGUGCCAGUUUCGAUUCUGAGCCUAGCCGGUGAGUUCCUUUAAUUUUUCCUUCCAUGCAUUUAUGUUUCACUUCUGUUCUUCUUUUUUUGUCAAAUAUAAUCUCAACAGAGACUAGUCAAGGGUCUGAGCCUAAAACCUCUUUUAUUGACGUUUGCUUUCCCUUUAAAAGUUUGUUCUAUAAUUUUCUUGUUCUAUUUAGUAUUGUUAAUGGCAUAUUUAAACCAUUGAUUUCACCUCUUGCUUGGUCACUUUGUUUAAUUUAUUUAGGCUUAUUUUAAUAAAUUAGUUCCGGGCCUGUUUGUGAUAAUUAAUUAGUUAAUUAGUGUAGCUUUUAGUGCCCUGAAAUUAUUAAAAUGUUUUUUUACAUGCAUUGGACUCCUGAUUUAGUUUGGGUCGUCUUUACUGCUUGGGCUUUGAGGUUAGUUUAGACCCCACUUCAGGGGUUUUGUUUGGUUUAAAUCUGAGCCAUUGCUUGGUUAGACUAUAGGGUCAAUUCGACCCAUGACCCAUGCGUGUCUGGUCCCUAAUGUAAAAAUAGGGAUCAUAAGGUUUAAAUUAGAAAAUCUAGAUGAAAUAAUCACUAAUAACUGCCUAAGGAAGCUUCCUAGAAGUUGGGGUGGAGGGUUCAUAUAAAAUCUGAAUUUUAAAUUAAGGAUCAACCAGCAAAAAAGAAAACUAAAAAGGAGUGAAGGGCAAAAACUGAAAUCAUUUCUGUUGUCCUAGAGCUUCUCUAUAAAAGGCUGGUUAUUUCCUAAUCAAGUAAGAUUUUUAAGAAUUUAGGAGAUAAAAAAAAUUCUGAAAAGCUGAAAUAGCUAAGUUCUUAUAGAAAAAUUCUGAAGCCCUGCAUUUCUUGUUUGAAAACUGCUAAAAUCCUGUUCGUUUGGGAUCAUCUGAUUCAUUUGGUUUUGGGAAAAAUCCUAUGAAAAUACAAGAAUCCUGAAACUUGGUCAAAUGGCCUGUGUUUGUUUGCUUAGAGCUUGGUUUUGGAAUUUUGGUGCUGGUGUUACUAUACCAUUGGAUUUGGGAUUGAGCUGCCUUGGUUUUGGUACUGUUUUAUAGAUUCUAGGCUUGGUUUUGUUGCGGCUAUUGUUUGUUCCUCACUCUCCUUGCUUCCUUUGUAAUUUUUUAGGUAUUCUCUUUGAACUAUAACUGGAAAUGAAGCCUGAUUGAGCUUUUGUGUGAGGAUCUGUAACCCUAGCUGAAGUUAAAUGACAAACAUUAGUCCGUGUUGUUAUUACUGCUUGACUCUGUCAUGUUCUAAUCAUAUUUCUCUAGUCUAGCUUAUUUUUUCUACUUCAUUCCCUAAUAUUAUGUUUGGUUUUCAGUGCUGGCUUUGGACUUUGUUUGGGAUAUAGUAGACUCAAUAGUGUUUUUAGACUUAGUGUAACAUGUGUUAAUUGAGGAAUGUAUCUCUUAAUCUAAUUAGUGUAAUAUAGUUUAGUCUAAUGAUUUCAGAGUUGUAACUUAGUUCUGCUUCUGCUCAUGUAUGAGAAUCUUGCAUUUUAAUAGGAUUUUCGGAUGGGAUUUGAGUGAGAGCUUUCUGUUGAAUCCAUGUUAUCAAACAUAUACAUUUGUUUUGAGGUCCUCUCUAGUAUUUUGACGAAAAACUAAAUUAAUAGUUGGUUGUGUUUGAUAGUUACACCAGUUGUAUGUAUGGUAACGAUGCUCCAGAGAAGAUUCAUUCAGUGUUUUAAUUUCAGUAAUGAUUAGUGAUGGUUUUGUUGAUUUUUAGGCAUGAAAUGUUCUAUUUUG